UACAGAGGUCUCAAGCGUUUGUUCGGAUUCAUUGGGCGUAAAGGGUGCGUAGGCGGCGCGGUAAGUCGGGUGUGAAAUCUUGGAGCUUAACUCCGAAACUGCAUUCGAUACUGCGGUGCUUGAGGACUGGAGAGGAGACUGGAAUUCAUGGUGUAGCAGUGAAAUGCGUAGAGAUCAUGAGGAAGACCAGUGGCGAAGGCGGGUCUCUGGACAGUUCCUGACACUGAGACACGAAGGUCAGGGGAGCAAACGGG
rnacentral:rRNA from 1 species